UACGUAGGUGGCAAGCGUUUGUCCGGAUUUAUUGGGUUUAAAGGGUGCGUAGGCGGCUUUGUAAGUCAGUGGUGAAAUAUGGCAGCUUAACUGUCAAGGUGCCAUUGAUACUGCAGAGCUGGAGUACAGAUGAGGUAGGCGGAAUUGACGGUGUAGCGGUGAAAUGCUUAGAUAUCGUCAAGAACACCUAUAGCGAAAGGCAGCUUACUAAGCUGUAACUGACGCUGAGGCACGAAAAGUGUGGGG
rnacentral:rRNA from 1 species